rnacentral:rRNA from 1 species
UACGUAGGGAGCAAGCGUUGUCCGGAAUCAUUGGGCGUAAAGCGCGCGUAGGUGGCUUCGUAAGUCCGUUGUGAAAGUCAAAGGCUCAACCUUUGAAAGCCGAUGGAUACUGCGGAGCUAGAGUACGGAAGAGGCGAGUGGAAUUCCUGGUGUAGCGGUGGAAUGCGCAGAUAUCAGGAGGAACAUCCGUGGCGAAGGCGGCUCUCUGGGACGGUACUGACGCUGAGACGCGAAAGCGUGGGGAGCG